AAGUCGUAACAAGGUUUCCGUAGGUGAACCUGCGGAAGGAUCAUUACCGAGUUAGGGUCUCCUUUAUGGGGCCCAACCUCCCAACCCUGUGUCUACAUAAACUUGUACGUGUUGCUUCGGCGGACCGGCAGUCGCCCUCUGUAAGGGGGACCGUCGCCGGGGGUUCAACGGUGUCACAACCGCCCCCUGGAGAGCGUCCGUCGAUGGCCCAACCUCCAAAACUCUUGAAUUAAACCAUGAACUUCUGAAUGAAAACCCAUAUUUGAUGUUAAUCAAAAACAAAACUUUCAACAACGGAUCUCUUGGUUCUGGCAUCGAUGAAGAACGCAGCGAAAUGCGAUAAGUAAUGCGAAUUGCAGAAUUUCCGUGAGUCAUCGAAUCUUUGAACGCACAUUGCGCCCUUUGGCAUUCCGAAGGGCAUGCCUGUUCGAGCGUCAUUAUCCUCCCUCAAACCUCGGUGUUUGGUGUUGGACUGUGUUGGAUGUUUAAGCCAACUGGUCUUAAAGACAAUGACGGUGUCCGUGGGACCCUCUUCGCACUGAGCUUUCCAAAGCACGCGUAGAGUUUUCAAGGCCCCCAAGGACCCGGUCACUCCUUUUAUUUUUUCUAGGUUGACCUCGGAUCAGGUAGGAAUACCCGCUGAACUUAA
rnacentral:rRNA from 1 species